UACGUAGGUGGCAAGCGUUGUUCGGAAUAACUGGGCGUAAAGGAUGCGUAGGCGGUUAAACAAGUUAUAUGUUAAAUAUAUAGGCUUAGCCUGUAGAAAGCAUAUAAAACUGUUUAACUAGAGUGCAGGAGAGGUAAGUGGAAUUCCUAGUGUAGCGGUGAAAUGCGUAGAGAUUAGGAAGAACACCAGUGGCGAAGGCGACUUACUGGACUGUAACUGACGCUGAGGCAUGAGAGCAUGGGGAGCAAACAGG
rnacentral:rRNA from 1 species